rnacentral:rRNA from 1 species
CGGAACGGGCUAAUACCGGAUAAUUCUUUUCUACACAUGUAGAAAAGCUGAAAGAUGGUUUCGGCUAUCACUCAUAGAUGGGCCCGCGGCGCAUUAGCUAGUUGGUGAGGUAACGGCUCACCAAGGCGACGAUGCGUAGCCGACCUGAGAGGGUGAUCGGCCACACUGGGACUGAGACACGGCCCAG